CUAUGGUGCCUUGUUACGAGGCAGGAUCUCUGCGUCACGAGGCAGGAGCCUCUCGUUUUGCUGCCACGAACAACGAAACGAUUUUGUUGCUGAAAUAUCAAGCUAGAUCCUUGGCCAUCAGACCGCACCCGCUGCCACCAUUAGAGUCCGCGGCCUCCAGAGAGCUUCUAAACAAUCUUCUAGAACAUCAGAACAAUCUUCUAGAAUGUAUGGCCGCCUUGGAGCUAGAACUGUCUAAAUGCAGGAGAUCCACGUUAUGGACG
rnacentral:lncRNA from 1 species